rnacentral:siRNA from 1 species
UUUGUAGGGCCAAUAACAAAU